CCAUACAGACCGAACGCGAUUCGACAACGCGACGCGAAUUUUCAGUUUUGCAUUGAAAAUUGAAAAUUCGCGUCGCGUUGCCAAAUCGCGUACGGUCUGUAUGA